UCGAGAAUUUUUCUCAAUGGGGGAAACCCUGAAGGAGCGACGCCGCGUGGAGGAUGAAGGUCUUCGGGUUGUAAACUCCUGUCAUUUGAGAACAAGGUGCACAUGUUAACUGCAUGUGCAUUGAUAGUAUCAGAAGAGGAAGGGACGGCUAACUCUGUGCCAGCAGCCGCGGUAAUACAGAGGUCCCAAGCGUUGUUCGGAUUCAUUGGGCGUAAAGGGUGUGUAGGUGGCGCCGUAAGUCGGGUGUGAAAUCUCGGGGCUUAACUCCGAAACUGCAUUCGAUACUGCGGUGCUUGAGGACUGGAGAGGAGACUGGAAUUCAUGGUGUAGCAGUGAAAUGCGUAGAGAUCAUGAGGAAGACCAGUGGCGAAGGCGGGUCUCUGGACAGUUCCUGACACUGAGACACGAAGGCCAGGGGAGCAAACGGGAUUAGAUACCCCCGUAGUCC
rnacentral:rRNA from 1 species